UGGGGAAUCUUAGACAAUGGGGGAAACCCUGAUCUAGCCAUGCCGCGUGAGUGACGAAGGCCCUAGGGUCGUAAAGCUCUUUUACUAGGGAUGAUAAUGACAGUACCUAGAGAAUAAGCUCCGGCUAACUCCGUGCCAGCAGCCGCGGUAAUACGGAGGGAGCUAGCGUUGUUCGGAAUUACUGGGCGUAAAGCGCGCGUAGGCGGCGAUCCAAGUCAGGGGUGAAAUCCCGGGGCUCAACCCCGGAACUGCCCUUGAAACUAGAUUGCUAGAAUACUGGAGAGGUGAGUGGAAUUCCGAGUGUAGAGGUGAAAUUCGUAGAUAUUCGGAAGAACACCAGUGGCGAAGGCGACUCACUGGACAGUUAUUGACGCUGAGGUGCGAAAGCGUGGGGAGCAAACAGGAUUAGAUACCCCCGUAGUCC
rnacentral:rRNA from 1 species